GGGUCGUCGCUAUAGCAAUGGGGAGCUGCCACCUGUCCCUCCGAGGGACUCGGUCCACCUGAGGCCUGAGGCGGCAGCGGGGAGGAGCCCGAGGCCCCGAGGGCUCCACGCUGUCUCGUCGGCUGCCUGCGGGCGAAAAGGGCGCUCCAGGAGCCGGGGAGGACGGGAGGGUUAGGUUGUGAGGGAAGCCGUUCCCGCGGGUGCCACUGCCCGCACUGGGGCUGCGGACCUUCUCCUUGGGGUUCAGAGCCCGGGGGCUUCCUCCUGCGCCUUACCGCCCCGAAGCGCUUUACUGGGCGCAGUCCGCAGGCACUGCCUACGAUCUUCGAACUAACACCCUGAAGGAAGCAACUGCAGCUGCUGUCCACUAGCCCAGUGCUAUGGGCCUUUUGUAAGCCCUCAUGGAUUGGACCCCAAGCAGACGUGGGGGAAGGAGAGAAGCUGUAUAGACAAGAAAGCCAGCUGAGUGGACAGUCCAGGGCUCGAACCACGUGCCCCAGAGGACCAGUGCUGGCAUUAAGCCUUGGAAGGUACUGUGAAGGACCCUGCAGUCAGAUGGGCUUGGACGCCCUGGGCAAGUUCUGUAACUCUGUGCCUUAGUCUUCUUAUGUGUAAAGUGGGAAUGAUGAAAGUACCUAUUUCAUAGAGCUCUUGUGUAUAUCAAAUGAGGAUAUUCCUGUAAGCCCCCAGCCUACUGCCUGCACAUUGUUA